rnacentral:rRNA from 1 species
GAUAAGUUGGGGGAAGCAGGCGGGGGAGGAAGAAGGGGGCAGGGGUGGACUGGAAUGAUGGGGGGUGAGGGGGACGUAGGGGGUUGGUUAAUUCGUGGGUGAAAUCCGGGAGGUGAACUCCAGAACGGCCGUGGAUACUGGGGAGCUAGAGUGCGGGAGAGGUGAGUGAAACUGCUAGUGUAGAGGUGAAAUUCGGAGAGAUUCGCAAGAACACCAGUGGCGAAGGCGGCUAACUGGCCCGAUACUGACGCUGAGGUGCGAAAGCGUGGGGAGCAAACAGGAUUAGAUACCCCGGUAGUC